AGGGGAGUGAAAAAGAACCUGAAACCGUGUACGUACAAGCAGUGGGAGCACCCUUUGGGGUGUGACUGCGUACCUUUUGUAUAAUGGGUCAGCGACUUAUAUUCUGUAGCAAGGUUAACCGAAUAGGGGAGCCGGAGGGAAACCGAGUCUUAACCGGGCGUUAAGUUGCAGGGUAUAGACCCGAAACCCGGUGAUCUAGCCAUGGGCAGGUUGAAGGUUGGGUAACACUAACUGGAGGACCGAACCGACUAAUGUUGAAAAAUUAGCGGAUGACCUGUGGCUGGGGGUGAAAGGCCAAUCAAACCGGGAGAUAGCUGGUUCUCCCCGAAAGCUAUUUAGGUAGCGCCUCGUGAAUUCAUCUCCGGGGGUAGAGCACUGUUUCGGCUAGGGGGCCAUCCCGGCUUACCAACCCGAUGCAAACUGCGAAUACCGGAGAAUGUUAUCACGGGAGACACACGGCGGGUGCUAACGUCCGUCGUGAAGAGGGAAACAACCCAGACCGCCAGCUAAGGUCCCAAAGUCAUGGUUAAGUGGGAAACGAUGUGGGAAGGCCCAGACAGCCAGGAUGUUGGCUUAGAAGCAGCCAUCAUUUAAAGAAAGCGUAAUAGCUCACUGGUCGAGUCGGCCUGCGCGGAAGAUGUAACGGGGCUAAACCAUGCACCGAAGCUGCGGCAGCGACACUCAGGUGUUGUUGGGUAGGGGAGCGUUCUGUAAGCCUG
rnacentral:rRNA from 1 species